UAUGCAUUACUUUGAUUUAUCAAAUGGUGCGGGUUUUCGCAACCCAAUAAUCAUGAUAUUUUGGGUAGUGUUGAUUAAUAUCUAGCGGUGCUAGGAUUGCUAUUAUAUUGGAACGUGCGUCUGGUGAGUCUGGUUUAAUAAUGUCCUCAAGUGGAGCUCGUUUUAUUAUUCGGAACCUAGCUAGUUGGAAUUUUAAUUAUUCUAUGAAUAAUAAAAAAAUGUUUCCUGAAGUCCACUGUUGGAAUUAAAAAGAUAUUAAUUAAUUAAGUCUAUAGUAGACAUUAAUUAAUUAAUUGACAUUUAUAUCUUAAGCGCGGAUAAUAACCUUUUAAAAGUGGAAACCCAGAUUACUUGUAAUUUUGGAUUUGGAUGGGUAAUACAAUAUUAUUAUUUAGUUGCUGAUAAUAAUAUUCUAAUAUAAACUUGAAUUAAAUUGUGGGUUCAAUUUAAUUAGAAGAGCUAAUUGGGUGUGGCCACAUCCAACCUCCAUACAUCCAACCUCCAUAGAUCCCUGACUUAGCCCAAUAUGUAACUUAAUAUAAAUAGUAGAAUAAAUGAUAGACAUAAGAAUAAGUUUAUUAUUUUUGCUGAAAUUUUCGUCCCCCUCUCUCUGAAGGAGUUGGAAUUUCUCCCUUUCCUACUUUGUGUGGGAGUUUUGUCUUCUUUAUUUAAGUCUUGGUAUUUUGAUAUGAUCAGCCCACCUGGUAUCGAAAUACAGUUGAGGAACCAGUCAGAAGAUUUGUGGUCAAGUAUUGAAGAUCGUCACGUAGAGAAGUAGCAAGCCAUCUUCGAUUCUUUGGAGAAUCAAGAAGGAGAUUGAUAGGUCGCCUUGUCUAUCUUUGUAUCACACGCCCUGACAUCACCUUUGUUGUGAACAAGCUCAGUCAGUACCUAUCAAAGCUAUGCGCAGAUCACAUGCUUGCUGGUGAACGUGUUCGCAGAUAUUUGAAGGGCACAAUGGGCCAUGAUCUUUUUUAUUCAGCUCGGGCAGAUCCCUCCUUGAGCAUUCUCUUAUGCUGAUUGGGCCGGUUGUCCGGACACUAGAAGAUCUAUCUCCGGAUUCUGCUUGUUCCUCGGCACAUCCCUGAUCUCAUGGAGAUCAAAGAAGCAACACACUGUGUCAAGAUCCUCAGCCGAGGCUGAAUAUAGAGCAAUGGCUCUUGCUUGCUGUGAAGUUGUGUGGAUUAUAGCUUUACUCAAGGAUUUUGGUUUAGAAGUAAAGAAUUCGGUGCCUCUUUAUUGUGAUAGCCAAGCGGCCGUGCACAUUAGCACAAACCCUGUGUUUCAAGAGCGCAUGAAGCAUAUUGAAAUUGAUUGUCACACCGUGCGUGACAAGAUAAUUGAAGGAGUGAUCAAAAUCGUCCAUGUUCACAACAAUCUACAGCUAGCUGACAUUUUCACUAAGCCUUUGGUUGUUGCUCCCUUUAACACUCUAUUGUUCAAGAUAUAUUUCAAGAGUGUCUAUACUCCAUCUUGAGGGGGCCGAUUAGAAUAGUUCACACAGCUAGCUCGAGAUGAUGGAAGAAGAUCGAGCUCAAGUGUGAAGAUAAAGAAGUGCCAGCGGUUUUGGUAGUUAUUCAGUUGAGUAGUUAAUUAGUUAUAGAGCUUUCAUCCUGUGCUUUUCGUUGUAUAUGCACCGCGCACCGAUCAUAUAUAAGGUGCCUUGUAUGUAUUGGAAUUCAUUCAAUAAGAUUCAAGUUUUCUCUCCCAGAAUAUCUUUCUCUUUUCUAUGCAACUCCAUCAUGAUCAUGGAGUUUCUCUCAUAGAUUUGUUAUGCAGCUCCUUCUUUGAGCCUAAUUUGAUCUUGUUGUCUCUGAGGUUCGAGAAGCAGUUCUGCAAGCCAAUCGGUGUCCAUGAAGAAGAAGGUCGUGAAGUUGAUGACCAAACCAUUGCGUCGGUGUGGAAAAUGUGUCCCCAUGACUCUAGAAAUUGUGGCAGACGAUAGUUCGUUUCGAAAUACUUGAAGAUUGUGUUAAUUCGUUUCGAAGUACUUGAACAUUGUGGUCAUAUUUAUUUUUAACUUACCAGCUUGCAGUUUAAGUCCAUCAAUAUUACUUUAUUGAAUUUGUUCAUGAUUAGUUUAUUGAACGAUUGCAGAUUUGUUCUCGCAGUAUUGCUUACUAUUGCUUUGUGA